AAGGAGGAAUUCCUCUCUACCUAGACACUCAGUAGCAAAGAAGCUUAAACAGGGAACCGUGCUGCCGAGAACCAGCUUCUAAAAUCCUGCUCCUGGAACGAUCGAUUUGAGGCUACUCUCCAACUCCACAAACUAGACUUAAUAUCCGCCAUAAUUCUUUCCGAAUUCCAACUCCCAUUAUUAAAAAUGCAAUUAUUUCGGCUCUUCCAAAUGCUCCAAGUGAC
rnacentral:lncRNA from 1 species